UAUUUUUGUAAGUUGUUGGACAGUUAUUAAUUAUCAUUAUAACUUAAACAUACCUAUGCCAUCGUCUUCUGUUGUCCCUGGGUGCUCGAGAGGAGGAUCAUUUCGAUUCCCUCCAAAUGAAGGUGCAUGCCCUAAAUGGUGGAUCGCUCUCAGACGAGAAGACGAUAAUGGUUCACUCUGGAGGUCAUCCCCAUACUUUGUAUUAUGUGAAAAACACUUCAAGCCAGAAGAUUUCCGAGUGUCAAGAUAAACUCUAGCUUCCGUGUGAGAAAAAACAUAUUGUCAUUUGAAAAGAGAUGCAGCCCAAUCUCUUAUUCCUUGGUCACAAAAUGGUAACAUAAUUAAUAUUGAUGACAAAAGUAUGAUCAUGGCUCCUGAUCAAUACUUGGAUGUGUUAGUGGAGGAGGUACAUAUUGAGAUCAUCAACGAGGGUAUUUUCACACAAGACCAAUCAGAUUCGUUGAACACAAAGAAUUAAUAUGUUCAAACUACUUGUAACAAAGAAAAACGCCUUCGACUCAUGUUCUCGAUCCAAAACUGUUUUAAUAAUCCAUCAGCAAUCGCCAACUACAGAGGACUGAGUAACUACAGUCUACAAGGAUGAUAUUGAGAUUGACAUUAUGUUUAAAAUGCACCGUACAUCAGUCGAAAAAGUCUUCAGUACAUAGUUGAACUUUAAGUAUUAUCAAUUUAGAGAAAUUGAUCCAUUCUUGCCCCAAAAACAUCAUAGACCUCUACAUAUCAGAGGAAUGUAAGUCGUAAUUCUCAAAUACGAGAAUGAUCUUGGAUCUUUUUCAUUUCUAAUCAAAUAUUUAAAAGAACUGUUUUAAUCCUCAUCAUCAAUUUCCUGAUGCGCUUCGUCUUUCUAAAUUAUAAAAUUGUAUCCGUACUAUAGAAAUCAUUAUUUUUUACUUAUUUUCAAUAUCAUUACAAAAUUCACUU
rnacentral:lncRNA from 1 species